AACGGCUCACCAAGGCGACGAUGGGUAUCCGACCUGAGAGGGUGAUCGGGCACAUUGGGACUGAGAUACGGCCCAUACUCCUACUGGAGGCAGCAGUAGGGAAUUUUGCGCAAUGGACGAAAGUCUGACGCAGCGACGCCGCGUGAGGGAUGACGGCCUACGGGUUGUAAACCUCUGUUGAGUGGGACGAAAACUCGCAGGGUUAAUACCCCUGCGACCUGACGGUACCACUCGAGGAAGCUCCGGCUAACUACGUGCCAUCAGCCGCGGUAAUACGUAUGGAGCAAGCGUUGAACGGAAUCACUGGGCGUAAAGGGAGUGUAGGCGGGAAAGUAAGUCAGGAGUGAAAUACACAGGCUUAACCUGUGGCCCGCUCUUAAUACUGCUUUUCUUGAGUAUGGGAGAGGAAGAUGGAAUUCCAGGUGUAGCGGUGGAAUGCGUAGAUAUCUGGAAGAACACCAGUAGCGAAGGCGGUCUUCUGGCUCGAGACUGACGCUGAGGCUCGAAAGCUAGGGGAGCAAACAGGAUUAGAUACCCUGGUAGUCCUAGCCGUAAACGAUGGACAAUAGUUGUCGGGGGAGUCAAUCCCUGCGGUGACGAAGCUAACGCAUGAAGUGUCCCGCAUGGGGAGUACGCUCGCAAGGGUGAAAGUCAAAGGAAUUGACGGGGGCCCGCACAAGCGGUGGAGCAUGUGCUUUAAGUCGAUGUAACGCGAAGAACCUUACCUGGGUUUGACAUGGGGGUGAAAGUAACCAGAGAUGGAUACCGUUUCAUUCGGGACACCCCACACAG
rnacentral:rRNA from 1 species